rnacentral:rRNA from 1 species
GACGAACGCUGGCGGCGUGCCUAACACAUGCAAGUCAAAGGAAAGCAGCUUCGGCUGGGAGUACUUGGCGCAAGGGUGAGUAACACGUGGGAACCUUCCUAGGGGUACGGAACAACUCAGGGAAACUUGAGCUAAUACCGUAUACGUCCGUGAGGAGAAAGAUUUAUCGCCCUUAGACGGGCCCGCGUCGGAUUAGCUAGUUGGUGGGGUAACGGCCUACCAAGGCGACGAUCCGUAGCUGAUCUUAGAGGAUGAUCAGCCACACUGGGACUGAGACACGGCCCAGACUCCUACGGGAGGCAG